CACGUAGGGAGCAAGCGUUGUCCGGAAUCAUUGGGCGUAAAGAGCUCGUAGGCGGCUCAGUAAGUCGGGUGUGAAACCUCCAGGCUCAACCUGGAGACGCCACUCGAUACUGCUGUGGCUAGAGUCCAGUAGGGGAGUGUGGAAUUCCCGGUGUAGCGGUGAAAUGCGCAGAUAUCGGGAGGAACACCAGCGGCGAAGGCGGCACUCUGGGCUGGUACUGACGCUGAGGAGCGAAAGCGUGGGUAGCAAACAGGAUUAGAUACCCUGGUAGUCCACGCCGUAAACGUUGGGCACUAGGUGUGGGACCUUUCCAACGGGUUCCGUGCCGUAGCUAACGCAUUAAGUGCCCCGCCUGGGGAGUACGGCCGCAAGGCUAAA
rnacentral:rRNA from 1 species